AACAAACUCUCUCUCUCUCUCUCUCUCUCUCUCGCAUGCGCUCAAAUUUGAACCAGAGAGAACAACACCACUCGCACUUCACGAACUUCACGUCCUUCACACUUCACGAAACUUCACGCCCUUCAGGUCGCUACGAAAAAGAGUUGUCGUUGUUAGUAGAGGUGGCGCAGAGUCGUCGUGGAGAGAGGCAUCGUUGAGCAAAGUCUUGCUGGAGCACAGUUGUGGUCGAGGUUGUGGAUUUGAGGCUUCGUCGUGGAGCAAAAGUGCCGUUGCCAUCGUGGAGCAUAGGCGUUAGUUGCUGGAGCAGAAUUGAAGUCGACAUUGCAGAUACGAGGCUCGUCGCGGAACGGAAGUGGAGGCAAUGACGAAGCUGCAGUGAGUGACGCAGCAAUAAAAAAAAUUGAGCCGCGGCAACAACAACGACGCAAGGGCCUACCAAAGAGGACCUGGUGAGGUAGUGAAAAGGAGGAAGGAGAGACUAGUGAGAUUUUGAGAGAGUGUGUGAAGUAACUGAAUAAGAGAGGCUGAUGAGAUCUAAUUUGAGAGAAUGGAAAUAUUUUGACAUAAUAUAUAUAUAUAUAUAAUUAUUUUUGUAAUUUCAUA